GUCCGUUUUCCCAACUGAAAUGUGAACCUUUGGGAAGAGAGCCUCUCCGGGAGCAGGCAUCCCUGGCUGGGAAAAUGAACUUCCUUUGUCAAACCCCACUCCAUAGGCAUACAGGCCACAUCUGCCCGGGCCAU
rnacentral:lncRNA from 1 species